rnacentral:misc_RNA from 1 species
CCAAUAGCGUAUAUUAAAGUUGUUGCAGUUAAAAAGCUCGUAGUUGAAUUUCGGGACCAAUCUGCCGGUCGUGCCUCUGGUACGCACUGGUUUUAUUGGUUUCUCCCUUCUGACGAACCAUAAUGUCAUUAAUUUGGUGUCAUGGGGAAUCAGGACUGUUACUUUGAAAAAAUUAGAGUGUUUAAAGCAGGCUCACGCUUGAAUACAUUAGCAUGGAAUAAUGAAAUAGGACGUUUGACCCUAUUUUGUUGGUUUCUAGGAUCGACGUAAUGAAUAAUAGGGAUAGUUGGGGGCAUUAGUAGUCAAUUGUCAGAGGUGAAAUUCUUGGAUUUAUUGAAGGCUAACUACUGCGAAAGCAUUUGCCAAGGAUAUUUUCAUUAAUCAAGAACGAAAGUUAGGGGAUCGAAGACGAUCAGAUACCGUCGUAGUCUUAACCAUAAACUAUGCCGACUAGGGAUCGGAUGAUGUUAAUUUUUUAAUGACUCAUUCGGCGCCUUACG